CGUCUAUAUGUUGAUCGAGAUCAAAAUUAAUCUCAGGACAUUUCAAAAGCACGUUUCUGUUUGUGACGAACGUAUCAUUCACGUUGAAACUAGUGGGAACGUUUGUAACUUUUCGAGAAACGCGUUGUUCGUCCAGAUGUAUACCGAUGCUAAACUGACUAACGACAGUAGAGUGGAGAACGCAAUGGAGCCAUUCGUGUACAAAUCCUGAGUAAAAAGUGAAUUAUUGAGCAGUAAAAGUUGCGCGUAAAAUCUGUGCACAAUCCCUACACUACCUCUGUAUGUAGCAAACGAUUGUCGCCGUUGAUUUUGGGCAAUUUAUUUGCAUCGAGUACUUCCGAAUUCGAGAUUAUCUUCGAAAUAAGCUUGUAUAAGCACCUACAGGAUUCUUCCAAUUCGUUUAAUUUCUCACUCCCGCCACGUAUAUAUUGGAGGUUCUUUGAUAUAUUUCUUUUCCAUACUGCAAUGUUAGAAAUAACAUUGUGUAAUGUACAAAUAAUUAUGUGUGUGUGUGUGUGUGUGUGUGUAAAUAUAUAUACGAAGUGUCUGGCGAUUCAUGAUACAUCCAUCGUGUGCAGAUAGAACUCGUCAAACUAAACAUAUAAUUUCUCUGCCAUUUCGCAAACAACCAUAUAAAAUUCUGAGUUAUUAGUUAAAGAUAAAUGAUUACGAUAUAAUAGAUGAGUUAUGAUGGUGACGCUACUGAUUGUAAAUAUGUACGAUUGUAGAUUGUACAUCUGUUGUUUGUAGAUAUGAAGUCAAAUUGAACAAUAAAAUCCUAUUAUUUUGCAGAUGAUCACGUAAUUUUUUUAUUAUUAAUUAAAGAAAAUUAGUGCAUGAUUAUGCAUGUAACAAUCUUCUUAAUAACACAAAAUUUACAUGGUUAUUUGCAAAAUGGUAGAAAACCCUUUUGUUCAGACCUAAUAUCCUACCUGCACACAAUAUGCAGGUCAUGAAUUGUCAAAUUAGGCUGUAUACAUAUUAUAUAAUAAUUUGAGACUACAGUAUACAUAUUAUAUAAUAAUAGACUACAGUAUACAUAUUAUAUAAUAAUAGACUACAGUAUACAUAUUAUAUAAUAAUUUGAGACUACAGUGAGAAAUUAUAUAGAAUAAAAUAUAAAUAUAUAAUGUUGUUCACAAAGAGAACACCAACUGUUUAUAAUGUUUGAAUCUUCAACAUCUAGCAACUGUUUUUGAACCAAUGGAUGAACCAACAUAUCAGAUACCAUCUUCUUUAUAUUCUGUGUUCUAUCAAAAAUUUCUGCUUUAUAUAUAUUCUGUGAUUCCAUUUCGUUCCUAAGAUACAUGAUAGGAUUAUAAGAAAACUAUGUCACUAUUUACUAUGUAAGCAAACAUGAUUCCCAGGAUUUACUUGAGUAAGUUACUUGUAGUAUCCAGAAUUCUCUUUGCUUCUCUGUGCAUUUCUUUCGCAGCUUUGCAUCUUUCAGCAAUUACGCUGUUGAAGUAUGCAAUAGUCAAAUCAUCCACUGGGCUUGUACGUGGUGCACUCAACAAUUCACCUUGAACUAAAGAAUAUAUUUAAAAUAAAUGAUGAUGGAAGGAA